AACGAACGCUGGCGGCAUGCCUAACACAUGCAAGUCGAACGAUGCUUUCGGGCAUAGUGGCGCACGGGUGCGUAACGCGUGGGAAUCUGCCCUUGGGUUCGGAAUAACAGUGAGAAAUUGCUGCUAAUACCGGAUGAUGUCUUCGGACCAAAGAUUUAUCGCCCAGGGAUGAGCCCGCGUAGGAUUAGCUAGUUGGUGGGGUAAUGGCCUACCAAGGCGACGAUCCUUAGCUGGUCUGAGAGGAUGAUCAGCCACACUGGGACUGAGACACGGCCCAGACUCCUACGGGAGGCAGCAGUGGGGAAUAUUGGACAAUGGGCGCAAGCCUGAUCCAGCAAUGCCGCGUGAAUGAUGAAGGCCUUAGGGUUGUAAAGCUCUUUUACCCGGGAUGAUAAUGACAGUACCGGGAGAAUAAGCUCCGGCUAACUCCGUG
rnacentral:rRNA from 1 species